GGCUAUAUGGUGUAGUGGUAGCAUACUCGCCUGGCAAGUGAGAGAUCCGGGUUCGAGUCCCGGUGGAGCCA